CACAGCUCCAGGAGUUAACAUAUUUGAAUGGUGGUUCAGAAAAUGCAGAUGUUCCAGUGGUUCGAGGGAAACCCACCUUGCGUACAAGAGGUGUACCAGCCCCAGCAAUAACCAGGGGAAGGGGAGGAGUUACAGCCCGGCCAGUUGGAGUUGUAGUACCACGAGGGACGCCAACUCCCAGAGGAGUCCUGUCCACCCGAGGGCCAGUGAGUCGGGGAAGAGGACUUCUCACUCCCAGAGCAAGAGGAGUCCCCCCAACUGGGUACAGACCUCCACCGCCACCCCCGACACAAGAGACUUAUGGAGAAUAUGACUAUGAUGAUGGAUAUGGCACUGCUUAUGAUGAACAGAGUUAUGAUUCCUAUGAUAACAGCUAUAGCACCCCAGCCCAAAGUGGUGCUGAUUACUAUGAUUACGGACAUGGACUCAGUGAGGAGACUUAUGAUUCCUACGGGCAAGAAGAGUGGACUAACUCAAGACACAAGGCACCUUCAGCGAGGACAGCAAAGGGCGUCUACAGAGACCAGCCAUAUGGCAGAUACUGAUUGUACUGUCUGAUGUUGUGAAAUAGCCAAUCUCCACCAGUCCUGUAUACUGUUCAAAGAAAUGUCAGCCAUCUUGGAAUGUCACAGGAACUGGUUGAACACCUGAAGCAAACAAAGGAACUUUCCUUCUAUUUAUGCACUGCUUAAGAACCGUCAACUCACCAACGUGCCUAGUCAGCAAAUGAAUCCACUUGGGAACUUGAAAAACAUCUUAAUUAAUUUUUGUUUGCAUAAUUUUGUGUUCUGUGACAUGUUUUUAUUAUAUGGUAUGCUUUUAAUUUGGAGAACCUACUUUUUUAAAAAACGGAAAGAAAAUCUAUCUUAUUUUGUUGACUCCCAAUAACAAAAAGAGAAUGAUUUGUAUAGUAGUUAAUAAAGGCUGCCUAUUGAAAUCUCUUCUACUUUAAACCU
rnacentral:lncRNA from 1 species